rnacentral:rRNA from 1 species
CAAUAGCGUAUAUUAAAGUUGUUGCAGUUAAAAAGCUCGUAGUUGGAUUUCUGGUCGGAAGCUCCUGUCCUCUGAUGAGCGUACAAGUGCGUCCUACCAUCCUUCUGUUAACCUUUAAGGCUUUCGCGGCUUUCUAGGGGCUCAGAUAUUUUACCUUGAGAAAAUUAGAGUGUUUCAGGCAGGCUAGCGCCGGAAUACAUUAGCAUGGAAUAAUGGAAUAGGACUUUUGCCUCUUCUGUUGGUCAUGAGGCUCGAGUAAUGAUUAAUAGGGAUAGUUGGGGGCAUUAGUACUUAACUGUCAGAGGUGAAAUUCUCGGAUUUGUUAAAGACUAACUUAUGCGAAANCANNNGCCAAGGAUGUUUNCAUNAA